UAAAGACUUUUCACAGUUGUAGCUUCAUCAUCCUGUUUAUAAUCCUUCACCUAUUACAAUACUAAGUUGGAGGCUUAAAAAAUAGUUCUAAAAAAUGACAAUGCAAGAAAAAUAUUUUUAUUGAUAGAGCAUAGUGAAUAUAUUUUAUAGAAUUUUUCAUUUAUCUAAAAUGUGCAUAUUUAGUUCAUUUAUAAAUUUAUCAACAUUGAGAUUUCCAAGUCAUAUUAAUUUAUACACAUAUUAAAAUACACUUUAUAGGUAAUAAAACUUUUUAAAUUUUAUGAGCAUUAAUAUUAUACAAAAAUAAGUUAUAAUGCAUUAUUUUCUAUAGUUAUUGAGCUGUUGAAGAAUGAAGAAGUAAAGUGAUGGAGAAUAUUCAAAGAUGUCUAAUUCCACGUGUGCUUAAAGGAAUUCAUCUAGGAAAAUAUGGGGUCUUAUGCUUCCAGAAGCAAAAGGGAGCACGGACCCUGAU
rnacentral:lncRNA from 1 species